GAGAGCCAGACCCUGCUUCUGGAUGAGAAAUCAAUGUGUUAACUGUCAGGGCAGAGGUGAGCCAGUGGUGCUCAUGAUUCCAUCUGUCCUUGAUGCUGGUCAAGCCUGAUGGAGGGCGACUAGUUAGCAGAAGGCCUGGAAAACUUACUCUCCUGUGGCAAAAGGCCUGGCACCUUGAAGGACAGCAGUGAUGACCCACUUUCCCAGACAAAUUCCAAGAACCUCCUGCCCUACAUGAGCAUAAAGAGUGUUCACGACCCAUGAAACCAAGAAAGGAAGAGUCUACUAGCCCAGACUACGGGCCUUCAAGAGGACGGGCCUUCAAGAGGACGUUCUCUAAGAGGCUUUCCAGCCCAUUCAGCCACCAGGACAUUCUCUCCCGUGAGCAUCCCUCCCAAACCCCAUGAGGAACUUGAGCAAGUUUUGGCACAGACCAGCAGGCUUACUCUCUCUGGUGACAGUGUGGCCUCUGGCUAACCCUGCUCUGCCAGACCAUUUUUAAGGCCUCCCUGACUCUUAUCUUUCAG